CGCUGGCGGCGCGCCUAAUACAUGCAAGUCGAGCGAGAAGGUGUAGCAAUACACUUGUAAAGCGGCGAACGGGUGAGGAAUACAUGGGUAAUCUACCAUCGAGUGGGGAAUAACCAGCCGAAAGGUUGGCUAAUACCGCGUACGCUUCCGAGUCUUCGGGCUUGGAAGGAAAGCCGCACUGUGAGUGCGGCGCUCUUUGAUGAGCUCAUGUCCUAUCAGCUUGUUGGUAGGGUAACGGCCUACCAAGGCUUUGACGGGUAGCUGGUCUGAGAGGACGAUCAGCCACACUGGCACUGCGACACGGGCCAGACUCCUACGGGAGGCAGCAGUAAGGAAUAUUGCGCAAUGGGCGAAAGCCUGACGCAGCGACGCCGCGUGGGGGAUGAAGGUCUUCGGAUUGUAAACCCCUUUCGGGAGGGAAGAUGGAGCGAGCAAUCGUUCGGACGGUACCUCCAGAAGCAGCCACGGCCAACUUCGUG
rnacentral:rRNA from 1 species